rnacentral:lncRNA from 1 species
CCCCCUGUUGCCAUGCCACCACCAACCACGUACCCUGGUGUGGCCUUGUGCCUCUGUUUAAAGAUGGGCUCUGCUUGGCUGUGUUUGGAGCACUUCUAACAUGCAGCUGGAGCUUCUCACUGUGUCCUGGAGAAGUCCGGUGGCCCCUUUAAAUGACAGCCAAGCUUCUGGACUGGAAGCUGCUAGAAGCAGCAGCAAGUUGGACACCAACCAUCCUGGCCCGUGGUCACACCUCAAUCCCAAGAAAUGGAUGAAGCCAAGCUCUCCCCACCGAUUUCCAAAACGCCUGCGGGUGGUGACACUACCCCGGUUGAAAAACACUGAUUUGGAGGUUUUCUCUUGGAAACCACGCGUGUGAGAGGGAAGGCGCAGACCUGUGUUGUACCUAGAGCUGCCACAGGGAGAGCAGCGUGUCAGGACUCUGAGGAGUCCCUGGUGCCCUCAGUCACCCAUUCCAUUUGUCGGAGCCCCGUCCCCGGGCCACAGCUUCUUCUCCAGGGGGCACUUGAAUUGAAGACUCACUCUCCCACUGAGCUGCCAGGCCACAGCCCCCACCUGACAGCACAGCACAGCUGAGUGGAAGUCCAGAGCAUCGUCUUGGAGCUUGACUACUUGGGUUCCAAUCCUGGCUCCAGCAUUUACCAGCCCUGUGAUUGUGGUCAAGUUACUCAACCUCUUGUGCCUCAGUCACUCUAUUUGUAAAAGAGAGAGAAGGAAGGGAAGUUGUGAGAAUGAAAUGAUGCAAGACUUAUGAACACUUAGGGCAUCGUCUGAUACACAGGAGACGCUCAAUGAACGUUAGCUCCCAGCUGCACUAUUACCUGCAUCUGGAGGCGGGCCCACCACGUGCGGUCCACGUGACUCUCGGUCGGAGCCAGCAAGAACUCAUUACCCAUGGCCAAGGCACCUCCUCUGGUGAAGGCUCUGGGCUGUCAGAAUGGAGACCUCUCCUACUCCAAACUUCUCAGUGACCUGCCCCCAUCCCCCCAGGUCCCAGGGGCUAAGUCUCUUCCUUGGUGGGACUUGCAGCACAGACCCCUUGUGUAGGUCCCAGCCAGCUAACGUUUGAAAUGUGACAUAUGAUAUGAUAUAAAAG